rfam:Rhodococcus sp. BCP1 chromosome, whole genome shotgun sequence.
ACGAAUCGACACGGGAGUCCCGGGGAUCGCGGGGCUGAGAGGGGGCCUGCCGGCCCCGACCGUCAGCACCUGAACCGGAUCAUGCCGGCGCAGGGAGUGAGGUGGACGAACUG